rnacentral:rRNA from 1 species
UACGGAGGGUGCAAACGUUGCUCGGAAUCAUUGGGCGUAAAGCACACGUAGGCGGUCUUGUAAGUCGGAAGUGAAAGCCCUGGGCUCAACCCAGGAAGUGCUUUCGAAACUGCGAGGCUUGAGUAUGGAAGAGGGUCGCGGAAUUCCCGGUGUAGAGGUGAAAUUCGUAGAUAUCGGGAGGAACACCAGUGGCGAAGGCGGCGACCUGGGCCAAUACUGACGCUGAGGUGCGAAAGCGUGGGGAGCAAACAGG